UACGUAGGGUGCGAGCGUUAAUCGGAAUUACUGGGCGUAAAGCGUGCGCAGGCGGUUUUGUAAGCCAGAUGUGAAAGCCCCGGGCUUAACCUGGGAAUGGCAUUUGGGACUGCAAGGCUUGAGUGCGGCAGAGGAGACUGGAAUUCCUGGUGUAGCAGUGAAAUGCGUAGAUAUCAGGAGGAAUACCGAUGGCGAAGGCAGGUCUCUGGGCUGACACUGACGCUCAUGCACGAAAGCGUGGGGAGCAA
rnacentral:rRNA from 1 species